GACGAACGCUGGCGGCGUGCCUAAUACAUGCAAGUCGAACGCACUCUCGUUUAGAUUGAAGGAGCUUGCUCCUGAUUGAUAAACAUUUGAGUGAGUGGCGGACGGGUGAGUAACACGUGGGUAACCUGCCCUAAAGUGGGGGAUAACAUUUGGAAACAGAUGCUAAUACCGCAUAAAACCUAAACACCGCAUGGUGUAGGGUUGAAAGAUGGUUUCGGCUAUCACUUUAGGAUGGACCCGCGGUGCAUUAGUUAGUUGGUGAGGUAAAGGCUCACCAAGACCGUGAUGCAUAGCCGACCUGAGAGGGUAAUCGGCCACACUGGGACUGAGACACGGCCCAGACUCCUACGGGAGGCAGCAGUAGGGAAUCUUCCACAAUGGACGAAAGUCUGAUGGAGCAACGCCGCGUGAGUGAAGAAGGUUUCGGAUCGUAAAACUCUAGUUGUUUGGAAGAAGAAUGUAUCUGAUAGUAACUGAUCA
rnacentral:rRNA from 1 species